rnacentral:lncRNA from 1 species
GUUGGGGCAAGUAUGGACAAAACAUUCAAGCGUGAUACAGCUCUGAAUUUGGAUUGUGAUCAAAUUUUUGACAUUACAUGGUUUUUUUUUACACAAAACAAAUGUCAAGAUUUUACAAAUCAAUUAAAGAUUUCUUCUUCAAACUUUUUAAAUCUAAAAUUAAAUAGUUGAUCAUGACACAGCAUAGGUUUCUGACACAACGAAUGUGGUCUAAUGAACUUAAAAGUUUUUUUUUGCCUUUGAGCAAUUCACUAUGCUGUUGAAUAUUAAUCCUCUCAAAAAAAUGUUUGAAGAAAUUUUCUUUUUAUUUAUGAAAUCUGAAAUGAGAAAAAUUUACCCCCCCCCCCCCAUUUUUUUUUCACAUCCCCGUUUCCCUUUUUCCAAAACUGAUAUCAAUUCAAAUUUCUAAUGGAGUUUGCAACAAUAACUACUCUUUUAAAUACAUCAUAAAAUAUUAAAAUGUAAAAUAAAGUGCUUGUUAUCACUGAAUGGUAAAGAUUGGUUGGUAGUAAAAGUGAAUAUACAUUGUUUAUUGUAUAAAACAAUAAAAAAAACUUCAUCAGCAACAUUUUAUAUUGGCAAAUUUCCAAUGAAGUUAUUUACAUAAAGUUAUUGGCAAAUAAAAAUAGAAAAUGACAUCAUAGUCAUGUCUGGCAAAUGUCCAACAUACAUUAUCUAAAAACAUUUUAGAUAAGAUAAGGAAAAAAAGCUUCAUCAGCAA